ACGCGGAUCGUAGCGGGUGGCUGCUGCUGUGAGGCGGUUGUGGAAGGUGUGAGGAGGCUGUGCGUUAAUAAAGGUAUCCAUGGAGAACACUGAAAACUCAGUGGAUUCAAAAUCCAUUAAAAGUUUGGAACUAAAAACCAUACAUGGAAGCAAAUCAGUGGACUCUGGAAUAUCCCUGGACAACAGUUAUAAAAUGGAUUAUCCUGAGAUGGGUUUAUGUAUAAUAAUUAAUAAUAAGAAUUUUCAUAAAAGCACUGGAAUGGCAUCUCGGUCUGGUACAGAUGUUGAUGCAGCAAACCUCAGGGAAACAUUCAUAAACUUGAAAUAUGAAGUCAGGAAUAAAAACGAUCUUACACGUGAAGAAAUUGUGGAAUUGAUGCGUAAUGUUUCUGAAGAAGAUCACAGCAAAAGGAGCAGUUUUGUUUGUGUGCUUCUGAGCCAUGGUGAAGAAGGAAUAAUUUUUGGAACAAAUGGACCUCUUGACCUGAAAAAAAUUACAAGCUUUUUCAGAGGGGAUUGUUGUAGAAGUCUAACUGGAAAACCCAAACUUUUCAUUAUUCAGGCCUGCCGUGGUACAGAACUGGACUGUGGCAUUGAGACAGACGGUGGUGUCGAGGAUGACAUGGCAUGUCAAAAUACCAGUGGAGGCCGACUUCUUGUAUGCAUACUCCACAGCACCUGGUUAUUAUUCUUGGCGAAAUUCAAAGGAUGGCUCCUGGUUCAUCCAGUCGCUUUGUGCCAUGCUGAAACAGUACGCUGACAAGCUUGAAUUUAUGCACAUUCUUACCCGGGUUAACCGAAAGGUGGCAACAGAAUUUGAGUCCUUUUCCCUUGAUGCUACUUUUCAUGCAAAGAAACAGAUUCCAUGUAUUGUUUCCAUGCUCACAAAAGAACUGUAUUUUUAUCACUAAAGAAAUGGUUGGUUGGUGGUUUUUUUCAGUUCGUAUGCCAGGUGAGAAGACAGUAUAUUUGGUACUGUAUUUCCCUCUCAUUUUGACCUAGUCUCAUACCGCAGAGGGUACUUUAAGUCAUACUCCUUCCAUCAGGUGGAACCACUGUGAAGCUACCUCAAACUUACAGCCAGGUAGUUGCAAUUGAAUUAAAUUAGGAAUAAAUAAAAAUGGAUACUGGUGCAGUCAUUAUGAGAGGCAGUGAUUGUUAAUUUACAGCUUUCAUGAUUAGCAAGUUGCAGUGAUGCUGUGCUAUGAAUUUUCAAGUAAUUGUGAAAAAGUUAAACA